AGAGUUUGAUCUUGGGUCCAGGAUGAACGCUAGCGGCAGGCUUAACCCAUGCAAGUCGAGGGGCAGCCAUGUCCAGCAAUGAAUGAUGGGCGACCGGCGAAAGGGUGCGUAACGCGUGAGCAACAUGCCCUAUACAGGGAGAUACACCAGGGAAACUUGGUCUAAUAUCCCAUAGCAUUCAUUGAAGGCAUCUUUAAUGAAUUAAAGCUUCGGUGGUAUAGGAUUGGCUCGCGUGACAUUAGCCAGAUGGUGAGGUAACGGCUCACCAUAGCAAUGAUGUCUAGGGGUUUUGAGAGGAAGGCCCCCCACACUGGGACUGAGACACGGCCCAGACUCCUACGGGAGGCAGCAGUGAGGAAUAUUGGACAAUGGAUGGAAAUCUGAUCCAGCCAUGCCGCGUGCAGGAAGACGGCCUUAUGGGUUGUAAACUGCUUUUAUACGGGAGCAAUAAGGGUUACGAGUAAUCCGAUGAGAGUACUGUAUGAAUAAGGAUCGGCUAACUCCGUGCCAGCAGCCGCGGUAAUACGGAGGAUCCGAGCGUUAUCCGGAAUUAUUGGGUUUAAAGGGUGCGUAGGCGGCCAUUUAAGUCAGCGGUGAAAUUUUGCAGCUUAACUGUAACAGUGCCGUUGAUACUGUUUGGCUAGGAUUUGGUUGUAGUGUGCGGAAUGUGUGGUGUAGCGGUGAAAUGCUUAGAUAUCACACAGAACACCGAUUGCGAAGGCAGCACACUAAGUCAUUAUUGACGCUGAGGCACGAAAGUGUGGGGAUCAAACAGGAUUAGAUACCCUGGUAGUCCACGCAGUAAACUAUGAUUACUCGCUGUUUGCGAUACACAGUAAGCGGCUUAGCGAAAGCG
rnacentral:rRNA from 1 species